GUAGUUCGAGUCCUGGCUCGAGGACGAACGCUGGCGGCGUGCUUAACACAUGCAAGUCGAACGCUGAAGCUCUGCCCUUGUGGUGGGGUGGAUGAGUGGCGAACGGGUGAGUAACACGUGGGUAAUCUGCCCCAUACUCUGGGAUAAACCCCUGGAAACCGGGGGCUAAUACCGGAUAGGACAUUCUGCCGCAUGGUGGGGUGUGGAAAGUUCCGGCGGUAUGGGAUGGGCCCGCGGCCUAUCAGCUUGUUGGUGGGGUAAUGGCCUACCAAGGCGACGACGGGUAGCCGGCCUGAGAGGGUGACCGGCCACACUGGGACUGAGACACGGCCCAGACUCCUACGGGAGGCAGCAGUGGGGAAUCUUGCGCAAUGGGCGAAAGCCUGACGCAGCAACGCCGCGUGGGGGAUGAAGGCCUUUCGGGUUGUAAACCUCUUUCACCAUCGACGAAGCCCUUUGGGGUGACGGUAGGUGGGGAAGAAGCACCGGCUAACUACGUG
rnacentral:rRNA from 1 species